GUGCUUGCUUCAGCAGCACAUAUACUAAAAUUGGAACAAUACGGAGAAGAUUAGCAUGGUCCUUGUGCAAGGAUGAUCAUGCAAAUUCGAGAAACAUUCCAUAUUUUU